UACGAAGGGUGCAAGCGUUACUCGGAAUCACUGGGCGUAAAGCGUGCGUAGGCGGUUUCUUAAGUCUGUCGUGAAAGCCCUGGGCUCAACCUGGGAACGGCGAUGGAUACUGGGAAGCUAGAAUGUGAGAGAGGAUGGUGGAAUUCCCGGUGUAGCGGUGAAAUGCGUAGAGAUCGGGAGGAACACCCGUGGCGAAGGCGGCCACCUGGGCCGACCCUGACGCUGAGGCGCGAAGGCGUGGGGAGCGAACGGG
rnacentral:rRNA from 1 species